UACAUUUUGGUGUAAGAUGCACAAGAAUUUUUGAUAUUUUAGGAUUAUAGUUUAAUUCUGUAAGAUGUAA
rnacentral:tRNA from 1 species